AGCCGUAAGGUGAAGUUGACGGGCCAUGUCUGCCUGCACGGAGCUACUGGACUGCCAUUGGCUCAUCUGAGUUCGAUGGGCGGGGUUUUGCAAACGGUCAAUUGUCCUCAUGCAAGUCCUGGUCU